GUGGAAAUUUAUGGGAGAAAGGUACAGGCUUUUUCUUACGCAUACUGCUCAAAUACCUCCGAGCCUUUUCAUUUCUUAUCCUGGCAAUGGAUUCUGGGGAGGGUGUGCCCAACAGAUCGGUCAUCAAGUCUAAUUGGUGAACCACAUUUUUACCUGGAAAGAGAGGCUUCCCAGUCAGUAGUUCUGCAAAUAUACAUCCAAUGCUCCAUAUAUCAAUUGCUGGUGUA
rnacentral:misc_RNA from 1 species